AUCUGUGGAUGUAGCUCUUCAGUCAGUUAGGAAUUCUGUAGAUUCUUCUGCCAAUGAAGCCGCGGCGGGGUCUGCUACGCCGAAGAACAAGACUUUAAAGAAAUGGCCACUGGACAAGCUUCCAGAAUUUUCACACGUGGUGC